rnacentral:misc_RNA from 1 species
UAACACAACCAACACCUCGCACUUUAGUGUAAGCCACUCAGAUCGCACGGUCGAAUAAUUUUACCAAUAAUGGAUGAGGAACAAGUUCAAAUGCUCAGGAGAGCUUUCUCCAUGUUCGACAACACGAAGGUUGGUAAAAUCGAGAAGGAAAAAGUCAGAACAAUCCUGAACACCUUGGGGCACACGUUUGACGAUCAGGAAUUGGAGGUUCUACUCGAACAGGAAGAUGAGGACGGCAGCGGGCACUUGAACUUUGACUCUUUUUACCGCGUCGCCAGUCAUUUCCAAGAAGAGGACGACGAGGCUCUUCAAAAGGAAUUGAAAGAAGCUUUCCGUCUGUACGACAAGGAGGGCAACGGUUACAUCCCUACAAGUUCUCUUCGUGAAAUCCUAGCCGCGUUGGACGACCAGAUUACGCCUGAUCAGAUGGAUGGAAUGAUCGCUGAAAUUGACACCGACGGUUCGGGAACAGUCGACUUUGACGAGUUUAUGGAAAUGAUGACCGGAGAUUAAUCGCUGCGAUGACGUAUUUGAUAAUAUGGAUGAAAAAAGAAAAUGUAUGGAAAAUCAUCUCAAACAUCUCCAGGGGAUAGACCGGUCGUUUACCGGAACUUUUGCCAUGUUGGCACGCAACGGAUUUUUAUACAUUGCGUCCAUCAGGUGGAUGCGAAGUCGUUUUUUUCACGAUAUCAGGAGAUCACAGGGUGUACCGCAAAACGGUGGUAAUCGGUGAGAAGAAUUUUUUCCGCUGCCAAGAAUUCGAGCUAGCGAAUCAUCGUCUGCAUCUGCAGACAAAUCGUCGUCGUCUUCGACUUUGUGACCAGGAAGUUUGGGAGUUCACGGGUUCUCGGGGAGAGACCGUACGAAACAUUCGAAAAAUUCAACGACAUCCAGAUACGUCAGGACGGAGAACUGGCAAUAACUACAAAACUGUGACAACGAGACGGCGACGUCGCGACGCCGCCCCAGCUCGUCUUCGCGCCGUUCGUUUUCAUCCGAAGUGGCCUUCAAUCAGUCACCACGGCGGCUAAUUCGUCGCAGUACUCAUUCAACUUCCAACCACGAAGGGCAGGAGAUAUACAUGGCAUCGCUUAAUUCAU